rnacentral:rRNA from 1 species
CACGUAGGGGGCGAGCGUUGUCCGGAUUCAUUGGGCGUAAAGGGCGCGCAGGCGGCCCGGAAAGUCGGAUGUGAAAACUCGGGGCUCAACCCCGAGCGUGCACCCGAUACUGCCGGGCUUGAGGCAGGUAGGGGAGAUCGGAACUCCUGGUGUAGCGGUGAAAUGCGCAGAUAUCAGGAGGAACACCAGUGGCGAAGGCG